UACGUAGGGUGCGAGCGUUAAUCGGAAUUACUGGGCGUAAAGCGUGCGCAGGCGGUUCGUUGUGUCCGUCGUGAAAGCCCCGGGCUUAACCUGGGAACUGCGAUGGAAACUAGCGAGCUGGAGUGUGGCAGAGGGGGGUGGAAUUCCGCGUGUAGCAGUGAAAUGCGUAGAGAUCGGGAGGAACACCGGCGGCGAAGGCGGCUGCCUGGACCGGCCCUGACGCUGAGGCGCGAGAGCUAGGGGAGCAAACAGG
rnacentral:rRNA from 1 species